AAAAGAUCACUGGUAGGCCCCACAGGCUGUCUAUAGACCCUGCUAGUCUUCUUCUGUCCAUGGCCAAAGACUACAUUGAUUGUCAGACAGUUGCCUAUACAAGUUCAGGGUCAAGAAUUCUAAUCAGUCCCAGAUUCUUUAACCUCUGUAAUCCUCAGAAAUCUUUCAGAGUAAUUUUGGACUGGAGUGUGGAGGAAUCUUUGACUCCUUACCACCAAGACUCUGUGGAGGGUCGACUCAGAUCCUUACAGGACAUCUAGUCAUCUGCAGCUGCAUCCCUCUCCUCGGAAACUCCUAAGCAUUCCCAACCUAUUCUCUUUCCUCCAAGUUCUAGCAUUUCUUUCUAUUAUUUCUUUAAUAUCUUCCCUGGCACUGUUAAUGUGUGCUGAGGAAACCUUUGGAAAAUUUAUUCUAGGAAACAGAAACAAUGUUUGUGCAAACCAAAGGAUUUAUCACUGGCUUUUCCUGCAAAAAGUAUGCUAAAAAAGUUCAGGUGACAUCCGAGAUUCUGCUGUUUACGGGAGUCUUCUCUUUGGAGGAGAAUUCACUGACUUUACAUAUAUAAAAUAAAAUCUUCCAUGUGUUUGCUAUAGUAAGGAGAAAGAAGAUCUUCAAAAGAGUGCUUCAACCAACUUAGUUACAAUGGGAUGAAUUGCCUUCAUGAAAGCACCUGUUCUGCAUGGACAGUCGAUCUGAGGAGAUUGGCUGGGAUUAUUCUGCUGAAUUUACAUAGAUAAAUUUUUCAUUCUCUGCUGUUAUGAGUGAACUUAACUAGAUAAAGCAGAAUCUU
rnacentral:lncRNA from 7 species